rnacentral:rRNA from 1 species
AUUGAACGCUGGCGGCAUGCCUAACACAUGCAAGUCGAACGGGGCAGCAAUGCCUAGUGGCGGACGGGUGAGGAAUACGUAGGAAUCUGCCCUUAAGUGGGGGAUAACCAGGGGAAACCCUGACUAAUACCGCAUGAUCUCUUCGGAGCAAAGAGGGGGACCGCAAGGCCUCUCGCUUCUGGAUGAGCCUACGUCUGAUUAGCUAGUUGGUAGGGUAAAGGCCUACCAAGGCGACGAUCAGUAACUGGUCUGAGAGGAUGAUCAGUCACACCGGAACUGAGAAACGGUCCGGACUCCUACGGGAGGCAGCAGUGGGGAAUAUUGGACAAUGGGCGCAAGCCUGAUCCAGCAAGGCCGCGUGUGUGAAGAAGGCCUUCGGGUUGUAAAGCACUUUAGCCUGGAAAGAAAAAACUUUGGUUAACACCCAAAGUCUUGACGGUACCAGGUGAAUAAGCACCGGCUAACUCUGUGCCAGCCGCCGCCGUAAUAC